rnacentral:miRNA from 12 species
GGGGGGGGGGGGGGGGGGGGGGGGGGGGGGGGGGGGGGGGGGGGGUUUCUGUCCUGCAACCCACACCUGUCCUACAGCCCCACA